GGAAUGUAGCUCAGUUGGUAGAGUGCUUGCCUCCCAUGCAUAAGGCCUUGGGUUCAAUCCCCAGAACCA
rnacentral:tRNA from 1 species